rnacentral:rRNA from 1 species
AGUCGAACGGCAGCACGGGGGCAACCCUGGUGGCGAGUGGCGAACGGGUGAGUAAUACAUCGGAACGUGUCCUGUAGUGGGGGAUAGCCCGGCGAAAGCCGGAUUAAUACCGCAUACGAUCUACGGAAGAAAGCGGGGGAUCGCAAGACCUCGCGCUAUAGGGGCGGCCGAUGGCAGAUUAGCUAGUUGGUGGGGUAAAGGCCUACCAAGGCGACGAUCUGUAGCUGGUCUGAGAGGACGACCAGCCACACUGGGACUGAGACACGGCCCAGACUCCUACGGGAGGCAGCAGUGGGGAAUUUUGGACAAUGGGGGAAACCCUGAUCCAGCAAUGCCGCGUGUGUGAAGAAGGCCUUCGGGUUGUAAAGCACUUUUGUCCGGAAAGAAAACUUCUGCCCUAAUACGGUGGGAGGAUGACGGUACCGGAAGAAUAAGCACCGGCUAACUACGUGCCAGCAGCCGCGGUAAUACGUAGGGUGCGAGCGUUAAUCGGAAUUACUGGGCGUAAAGCGUGCGCAGGCGGUUCGUUAAGACAGAUGUGAAAUCCCCGGGCUUAACCUGGGAACUGCAUUUGUGACUGGCGAGCUAGAGUAUGGCAGAGGGGGGUAGAAUUCCACGUGUAGCAGUGAAAUGCGUAGAGAUGUGGAGGAAUACCGAUGGCGAAGGCAGCCCCCUGGGUCUA